AGCGAACGCUGGCGGCAGGCCUAACACAUGCAAGUCGAACGAGACCUUCGGGUCUAGUGGCGGACGGGUGAGUAACACGUGGGAACGUGCCUUUAGGUUCGGAAUAACUCAGGGAAACUUGUGCUAAUACCGAAUGUGCCCUUCGGGGGAAAGAUUUAUCGCCUUUAGAGCGGCCCGCGUCUGAUUAGCUAGUUGGUGAGGUAAAGGCUCACCAAGGCUACGAUCAGUAGCUGGUCUGAGAGGAUGGCCAGCCACAUUGGGACUGAGACACGGCCCAAACUCCUACGGGAGGCAGCAGUGGGGAAUCUUGCGCAAUGGGCGAAAGCCUGACGCAGCCAUACCGCGUGAAUGAUGAAGGUCUUAGGAUUGUAAAAUUCUUUCACCGGGGACGAUAAUGACGGUACCCGGAAAAGAAGCCCCGGCUAACUUCGUGCCAGCCGCCGCCGUAACAC
rnacentral:rRNA from 1 species